rnacentral:rRNA from 1 species
AAGUCUGGUGCCAGCAGCCGCGGUAAUUCCAGCUCCAAUAGCGUAUAUUAAAGUUGUUGCAGUUAAAAAGCUCGUAGUUGAAUUUCGGGGUUAGUAGGUUGGUCAUGCCUCUGGUAUGUACUGAUCUCACUGAUUCCUCCUUCCUUAUGAACCGUAAUGCCAUUAAUUUGGUGUUGCGGGGAAUUUGGACUGUUACUUUGAAAAAAUUAGAGUGUUUAAAGCAGGCUAACGCUUGAAUACAUUAGCAUGGAAUAAUGAAAUAGGACGUUCGAUCUUAUUUUGUUGGUUUCUAGGAUUGACGUAAUGAUUAAUAGGGAUAGUUGGGGGCAUUAGUAUUCAAUUGUCAGAGGUGAAAUUCUUGGAUUUAUUGAAGACUAACUACUGCGAAAGCAUAUGCCAAGGAUGUUUUCAUUAAUCAAGAACGAAAGUUAGGGGAUCGAAGACGAUCAGAUACCGUCGUAGUCUUAACCAUAAACUAUGCCGACUAGGGAUCGGAUGAUGUUAAUUUUUUAAUGACUCAUUCGGCGCCUUACGGGAAACCAAAGUGUUUGGGU